rnacentral:rRNA from 1 species
AUUGAACGCUGGCGGCAUGCCUUACACAUGCAAGUCGAACGGCAGCACGGGAGCAAUCCUGGUGGCGAGUGGCGAACGGGUGAGUAAAGUAUCGGAACGUGCCCAGUCGUGGGGGAUAACGUAGCGAAAGUUACGCUAAUACCGCAUACGAUCUAUGGAUGAAAGCGGGGGAUCGCCAGACCUUGCGCGAUUGGAGCGGCCGAUAUCAGAUUAGGUAGUUGGUGGGGUAAAGGCUCACCAAGCCGACGAUCUGUAGCUGGUCUGAGAGGACGACCAGCCACACUGGGACUGAGACACGGCCCAGACUCCUACGGGAGGCAGCAGUGGGGAAUUUUGGACAAUGGGCGAAAGCCUGAUCCAGCCAUGCCGCGUGCAGGAUGAAGGCCUUCGGGUUGUAAACUGCUUUUGUACGGAACGAAAAGGUUUGGGCUAAUAAGCUGAGCUCAUGACGGUACCGUAAGAAUAAGCACCGGCUAACUACGUGCCAGCCGCCGCAGUAA